rnacentral:rRNA from 1 species
UGGGGAAUAUUGGACAAUGGGCGCAAGCCUGAUCCAGCCAUGCCGCGUGAGUGAUGAAGGCCCUAGGGUUGUAAACCUCUUUCGAUCGGGAAAACGGGCUGGUGAAGAGCCAGUUCUGAUGGUACCGGAUGAAGAAGCCCCGGCUAACUAC